GUCUCUGUGUCGCAAUAGGUUAGCGCGUUCGGCUUUUAACUGAAAGGUUGGUGGUUCAACCCCACCCAGGGACG
rfam:Danio rerio chromosome 4, GRCz11 reference primary assembly.